rnacentral:rRNA from 1 species
UACGAACCGUCCUAACGUUAUUCGGAAUUAUUGGGCUUAAAGGGUGCGUAGGCGGCCCGGGAAGUUGGGUGUGAAAUCCCUCGGCUCAACCGAGGAAUUGCGCCCAAAACUGCCGGGCUCGAGGGAGAUAGAGGUGAGUGGAACUUAGGGUGGAGCGGUGAAAUGCGUUGAUAUCCUAAGGAACACCGGUGGCGAAAGCGACUCACUGGGUCUCUUCUGACGCUGAGGCACGAAAGCUAGGGUAG